rnacentral:rRNA from 1 species
AAUCAACGCUGGCGGCGUGCCUCAGACAUGCAAGUCGAACGAUUAAAGCUCUCUUCGGAGAGUGCAUAAAGUGGCGCACGGCUGAGUAACACGUAAGUAAUCUACGUUCGUGUGGGGGAUAACUUCCGGAAACGGACGCUAAUACCGCAAAAUGAACCGGGACAUAGUGGUGACAGAUGUUUAAGCAUUUAUUCGCUUGAAGAGGAGCUUGCGGCAGAUUAGCUAGUUGGUAAGGUAAUGGCUUACCAAGGCGUCAAUCUGUAACCGGUCUACGAGGACGGUCGGUCACACUGACACUGAAUAACGGGUCAGACUCCUACGGGAGGCAGCAGUCGGGAAUUUUGGGCAAUGGGCGAAAGCCUGACCCAGCAACGCCGCGUGAAGGAUGAAGUAUUUCGGUAUGUAAACUUCGAAAGAAUGGGAAGAAUCAAUGACGGUACCAUUUAUAAGGUCCGGCUAACUACGUGCCAGCCGCCGCGGUAAAAC